rnacentral:lncRNA from 1 species
GAUGAGAGGGCACUAGGGCACUAACUAUCAGGAUCACCAGGGGUAAUAAUUCUAUAGUCAAAGUCAUACAUAGAGAAAAUGGGUCCCGCAUCAGCACGUGUGACGUUAUUUUUUUUAUUAUAUAUAUUUUUUGGAAGCUUAUGUGGGUGACGACUGGGUGUAGGCUGGAGGCGGCUGGCUGCGUGUCCGCCUCCACCGGAAGCCACCUAGUCCAUAUAAACAAUUCACUCUCCUGCCUCCCACGGUCCCACCACUUGCCACCUCCUCGUCUUCCUCCUCCAUCAUGUAACCCCACCUUCUCUCUUUCUCUAAUCUACACCCGUAAAAUCAACCCAAGAAAGAAACAAUAAUGGAGGGAAAUUAAUUUUUUAAUUCUGGAAUGACUGGUCAAACGUCGUCCUUUGAACAUACUGUAGUGCCGCACACCGAGCCGACGGCUGACGACAAAACAACGUUUGAAUAUCCGUUUCAGGAUGUGAUGACUC